rnacentral:rRNA from 1 species
AUGCAACCACAUUUUGUUUUCCUCGAAAGGGACGAUAACCAACGGACUCUUCAUCUAUUGAUGCACAUAACCAUAGACACAACCACAUACGAAAGUUCAUUCAUUUGUGGCAUGGCAUCAAUAAGAUGCAACCACACGAGAGUUUUAUUUGGUAGUACAACAAGUUACUUGGGAGAAGGUCUAGGCAUAGAUGAUAGAUUCAUCAGCAUCGAUCUAGUGAUCUUCGAUCCUGAAGUACUCCAGCACGUCCUCCCUGCUAGCAGCGGCGGUGUCGUACGCCGCCAUGAACUCCCUGAACACGAACUCCCUGAACUUGGCCGGGUUCUCCUCGCUCACCAUCUCCGGCGCCGGGCCGAUAAGGCAGUCCAUCUUGGGCAUGAUGAGCGUCGCCACGGACAUCCUGGCCACGGCGGAGUUGGUGAGGGCGCGGUGCUCCACGCUCGCCAGCACGCCGUUGGUGACGAUCUCCAUCUGGUGCCCGAAGUUGAUGAUGAAGGCGCCGGGCACCGGGCGGACGAGGAUCCACCGCCCGCGGUACCUGGCCUGGAGCCCGGCGACGUCGCCCUGGGAGAGCACGGUGAGGAGGUGGCGGUCGCAGUGCGGGAGCAGGCCCAGCGUGACGCUCGGGUCCGGGCACGGCGGGUAGUAGUUGACGUUCAUCUGCGUGUCCCCGCCGCUGAGGUCGCCCGCGAAGAAGCCGCCGUCGAGGCCCAGCCCCUCGGCGAUGAGCAGGAGCAGCGUCUGCGCCAGCUCGUGGACCUGUGCGGAGAACUCGGCGAGGGAGCUCCGGAAGCUCUCCGGCUUGGCCGGCCAGUGGCCGACGAGCUCGUCGGAGACCGGGUGGCACCGCAGCUUGAGGUAGUCACGCCAGUAGCGCGUCUGGUUGCGGUCGUAGGAGGUGCUGGAGGCGACGCGGAAGGGCUUGCUCUGGUCGUCGGAGCAGUAGGGCAGCUUUUCCUCCGCCGGCAUCGGCGGCGCGCUUCUCCGGCGGGAAGACGUACUUGUCCGGCACGGAGGCGUGCGCCGGGCGGUUGGACAGCAGCUCCAUACCUGACCCCGAUCGAUGGAUCAAUGCGGCUGGCUUAUCUCUUCUCAGCCCGGACGACACGGCCGUAUGGAUCCAUAUAUAGAUAUGAUAUCAAUCUAAGAUAUCUAAGAGCUUAG